GAACGGUAGCACAGAGGAGCUUGCUCCUUGGGUGACGAGUGGCGGACGGGUGAGUAAUGUCUGGGAAACUGCCCGAUGGAGGGGGAUAACUACUGGAAACGGUAGCUAAUACCGCAUAACGUCUUCGGACCAAAGUGGGGGACCUUCGGGCCUCACACCAUCGGAUGUGCCCAGAUGGGAUUAGCUAGUAGGUGGGGUAAUGGCUCACCUAGGCGACGAUCCCUAGCUGGUCUGAGAGGAUGACCAGCCACACUGGAACUGAGACACGGUCCAGACUCCUACGGGAGGCAGCAGUGGGGAAUAUUGCACAAUGGGCGCAAGCCUGAUGCAGCCAUGCCGCGUGUAUGAAGAAGGCCUUCGGGUUGUAAAGUACUUUCAGCGGGGAGGAAGGCGAUGAGGUUAAUAACCUUAUCGAUUGACGUUACCCGCAGAAGAAGCACCGGCUAACUCCGUG
rnacentral:rRNA from 1 species